rnacentral:rRNA from 1 species
UUGUACCUACGGGGCGCAGCAGUAGGGAAUCUUCCACAAUGGGCGAAAGCCUGAUGGAGCAACGCCGCGUGAGGGAAGACGGCCCUACGGGUUGUAAACCUCUUUUGUCGGGGAGCAAAGCGAGUCACGUGUGACUCAUUGAGAGUACCCGAAGAAAAAGCAUCGGCUAACUCCGUGCCAGCAGCCGCGGUAAUACGGAGGAUGCGAGCGUUAUCCGGAUUUAUUGGGUUUAAAGGGUGCGCAGGCGGAGGUGCAAGUCAGCGGUCAAAUUGCGGGGCUCAACCCCGUACUGCCGUUGAAACUGC